CGGGGAAGGCCGGAUCCUGGGCUGUGUCCCGGCGCCCUGUGCUCCGGAGCCUGCGCUGUUGGAUUCGCGCUCCCGGGCCGCGCAGCCCCCU
rnacentral:pre_miRNA from 1 species